GACAGAGGUGCCAAGCGUUAGGCGGAAUCACUGGGCUUAAAGCGUGUGUAGGCGGAUCGUUAAGUACCUUGUGAAAUCCCACGGCUCAACCGUGGAACUGCUGGGUAUACUGGCGGUCUUGAGCCACCUAGGGGCAACUGGAACAAGCGGUGGAGCGGUGAAAUGCGUAGAUAUCGCUUGGAACGCCGAAGGUGAAAACAGGUUGCUGGGGUUGUGCCGACGCUGAGACACGAAAGCCAGGGGAGCAAACGGG
rnacentral:rRNA from 1 species